rnacentral:rRNA from 1 species
UACGCAGGCGGCUGCGCAAGACAGGUGUGAAGUCCCCGGGCUUAACCUGGGAACUGCAUUUGUGACUGCGCAGCUAGAGUUUGUCAGAGGGGGGUGGAAUUCCACGUGUAGCAGUGAAAUGCGUAGAGAUGUGGAGGAACACCGAUGGCGAAGGCAGCCCCCUGGGACCUGACUGACGCUCAUGUACGAAAGCGUGGGGAGCAAACA